ACAUCUUGAACUAAAACACUAAGGGAGGGCCUGAAAUAACUCGGUGACUAAGGAAUUUCAUUGAGAAAAAAGACAAAAACAAAACAAAUACUUUGUCUUUUGGAAUAAAUGAAUCCUUACAGAAGAGUGGUAAAAUGAACACGAGUUUGGAUCUGUGGAGCCAUUAUUAAGUAAUGAAGACUGAAUUCACCUUCUUUGGGCUGAAGCGAAAUAGAGAUGAAAAUCCCUUCAAUAAUAGAUAUCUACCCACUCCAUGGCCUCUACACCCGCUACUACCCACAUCUGCUGCACAUGAUGGAAACAUUGUUAUUCAUUUGGUUAAUCAUCAAACUCCCAUUGAACACAUACUCCAUUAUGCACUGAAUUAUUACAUUCUGUAAUUCCAAGUAGAAGAGAAUCUAAGAGCUUGUAUUCACAAAUAACUUGUCUGAAGAAAUAACAUCAAAAGAAUAUGGCAUCUCAAAUGAUUAUGAAAAUCACCCUUCAUAGAAGAUGGCGGAUUAUGUUUGUUGCAUUGUUUCUGUAAUGGGACUGAUAGUUUGUGCUGAAUAAUUCAUGCUAUUUGCCCAAGCCCCUUGAAAGUGCUGGCAUAUCUCUGAGGGACAGCUGGCUGAGAUUAUGGGACAUACUAUUGCCACAGACUUGAAUAUUGCCAAAUGGCCUCUUGGAGAUUUUUUUUGGUAGUGCAGUGUUUGCAAUGCUGUCUGUGGAAUUAUGCAGACCUGGGUUCAAAUUCUAACUCUACCCUUUGACUUGGACAAGGGAUUUAACCUCUUUUAGUCUCAAUUUCCUUGUAUGUAAAAUGAAAGUAGUAAUCCAUCCUUAUUGGGAUUUAUACAUAUAAUGUUAUAGGAACAGAAAUUUCAUUGUUUUAAUGAAAACUCCUUUUUCAAGGAGGUUGGGUCUGGUUAAAGGGAAUGUCCCUUUCCUAUUUAGUGCCUUGGGUUUGGUUGUGAAAACCUAGUAAGAGGAGUUGAGGGGUAGGUGGGUACUGGGAGAGCUCCAUUCUUUUUAGAAGAAGAAGAAUGGGGUGAGGAGAAGAGAAGGGAGGAGAGAGGCAAGAGGAGUCAGCCAAAAGGAGUGAAGCAGGAGGGCGAUGAGGCCAACAAAUUGGCAAGGUGGUGGUUGUG
rnacentral:lncRNA from 1 species